UUGCUUUGUUCGUCGGGUGUACGGCCUUCACGGGUUGGUUGCCUGGCGGAUGAGGUAUGGCGGGGCUUUGUCGGGAAUGUCUCGCGGGGGCUGGCUCUAUUGUUAUUCGGUCGUCGUCAUCCCCGGCGAUACCUUCUGCUCUCGCGUCCGUCACGCAGUCUUCUUAGAGGGACAAGCGGCGUCCAGCCGCGUGACAGUGAGCAAUAACAGGUCUGUGAUGCCCUUAGAUGUCCUGGGCCGCACGCGCGCUACACUGAAGGAAUCAGCGUGUUUCACUCUCCCUGUCCGAAAGGACCGGGUAACCGCUGAACCUCCUUCGUGGUUGGGAUUGGGGACUGCAAUGAUCCCCAUGAACCAGGAAUCCCUAGUAGGCGCGGGUCACUAGCCCGCGUCGAUUACGUCCCUGCCCUUUGUACACACCGCCCGUCGCUACUACCGAUUGAAUGAUUUAGUGAGGCCUUCGGACGGGCUUGUCGGGGUGCCGUCGAGUGGGGAGCAAUCUCUGCCCGUGCGGUGCCUACCAACGGCGAGACUGAAAGAUGGUCGAACUUGAUCCUUUAGAGGAAGUAAAAGUCGUAACAAGGUUUCCGUAGGUGAACCUGCGGAAGGAUCAUAA
rfam:Daphnia pulex DAPPTscaffold_14527_Cont18823, whole genome shotgun sequence.